rnacentral:misc_RNA from 1 species
GAUGAAGAACGUAGCGAAAUGCGAUAAGUAGUGUGAAUUGCAGAAUUCAGGGAAUCAUCGAAUCUUUGAACGCACAUUGCGCCCUUUGGUAUUCCUUAGGGCAUGCCUGUUCGAGCGUCAUUUAAACCUUCAAGCUAAGCUUGGUGUUGGGUGACUGUCCGCUUCACGGCGGACUCGCCUCAAAAUUAUUGGCGGCCGGUACAUUGGCUUCGAGCGCAGCAGAAACGCGAACUCGGGCCCGUCGUAUUGGCUCCCAGAAGCUAUCUUCACAAUUUUGACCUCGGAUCAGGUAGGGAUACCCGCUGAACUUAAGCAUAUCAAUAAGCGGAGGA